AGUGACCAGUCUAUGGAUCAUCCUGUUACCUUUAAAGAUGGAAAUCAGUCUAUUGAGAAGAGAAGAGUCCAGCAGGAGAGAGCAGACUCCCCUGGACCCAGCUGUGUCUCCAUGAAGAGUGGCUGGUCUAUGGAUAUACCAUUGGUGUUUAAAGAUGGACGCCCCCCCAGAGAGGAGAGCCCAGAGCAGCAGCAGAGAGCAGACUCCCCUGGACCCAGCUGUGUCUCCAUGAUGAGUGGAUGGAACAUCCUCUAUGGAACAUCCUUUUAACUUUAAAGAUGGAAAUCAGUCUAUUGAGAAAAGAAGAGUCCAGCAGCAGAGAGCAGACUCCCCUGGACCCAGCUGUGUCUCCAUGAAGAGUGACCACUCUAUGAAUC